rnacentral:rRNA from 1 species
GACGAACGCUGGCGGCGUGCUUAACACAUGCAAGUCGAACGGUGAAGCGCUUUCCUUUUUGGUGGGUGGGGAUGAGUGGCGAACGGGGGAGUAACACGUGAGUAACCUGCUCCCUUCUUCGGGAUAACCGCAUGAAAGUGUCGCUAAUACGGGAUAUUCUGGGUCUGUCGCAUGAUGGGUCUGUGAAAGAUUUUGUGUCGGUGUGGGAUGGGGUCGCGGCCUAUCGGGUUGUUGGUGGGGGGCUGGCCUACCAAGGCGGUGACGAGUUGGCGGCAUGAGAGGGUGAGCGGCACUGCUAGGGAGGCAACGCGGCCCAGACUCCUACGGGAGGCAGCGGUGGGGAUUAUAGCACAGUCGGAGGAAGCAUGCUGCCACGCCGCCGGGUGAGAGAUGGAGGCCUGCGGGUUGUGAACCUCUUUCGCGAGUGAAGCAGGCCUGCCUAGUUUGUGGGUGGGUUGACGGUAGCUGGAGAAGAAGCGCCGGCUAACUACGUG